GGCGUCGCCCGGGUUCGAACCAACUUUGCCCCGUUAGAGAGCGAUUGUUUCAAGGAAGAUUUGCAGUUGCAGCUGCAGAGGGGUAUUUAUUUGGGUUUCAAAAAGACGGUGCAACGAAAAGCCACCACUCACUCAUCGUCACAAAAGAAAAGAAAUGGCGCCCUCCCCUUGCGUUUAAAUUAGGCCACCGCUUCUCUCUCCUCUUCUUCUUCUUCUUCUUCUUCUUCUUCUUCUUCUUCUGUGCUGUGCUAUGCUGCGCUGUUAAAGAGAGAGAGGUUUAGGUUUAAGGAUCGUUUGAAGAUGAUUGUGAGAACUCCCCCAACGAAGAAGCUACGGGCGGCGCCGCCGGAGACCGAGACCCCACCGCCUGCCCCUGCCACAGGCCCAGGCCCUCUCGUCAUCUUCGAGGACGACCCUCCUCCUUCCCUUCCACCUCCCGGUUCCUCCUCCGACCACUUGCUCUGCACCUAUCAAUGCCGCCAAAUGGUUAAAUCAGAUUUUAUAGAUGCCUUGAGCAAUGCAGAGAAGCAAGCUUCUGAUUAUCAAUCUAAAUUGGCGGCUUUAAAUGAAAAAUUCUGCAAAGUUGAAUCUGAGAAGAAUAAAUAUCUGGAUCAAUUUUUGUAUGCUGAACAAGAACUUGCCGCUGCAAAGGCACGUGAACAGGAUCUGCAGGAGCAGCUUUUGAAGGAGGUGCACGAUUCUGAUGAAAGAUUGACUAAACAAUUACAAUCAAACAGCAAACUUGAGGUGAAGCUUCAAAACGAAAUGAACCUUCGCAUGAGAGCUGAGACUUCAACAGGUUUGGCUGAGGAGAAAGCAAGUGUUAUAGAGGGGAAACUGAGACAUCUUUCUGACAGCAUAGAGAAGGAAAAAAAGAGUCUCAAUAACAAUCUUGCCCAGCUGAAAGGAGAAUCCAAGCUCACUGUUUCUAGAAUAACUGCAGAUCGUGAACGAAUGGAAUGCAGAGCUCAUAAUGCUGAGAAAGAAACAGAGCUAUUGAAAAAGCAGCUGGAUGAUAUUAAGAAGCAACUUAGUGAGUGCGUGCAACAGAAGAGCGAAGUAGAGAAGAAAUUAUCAAAUCUUACAUUUCAAGAAGUUGAAUCCACGGAGAAUAAUAUUUUAGUUAAACAUCUGCAAGAAGAGCUUAGAAACUUUGAUGCUGAAGUAAGGGAAGCAAGAAAGCUGAAGUCAGCUCAUGAAAAUGUUGAGUUAUUGAAGGAAAAAUUGUUGGAAGAAAAGAGCCGUAGAGAGAGGGUAGAAGCAGAGUUAUCCAAACUACAAGAAUUACAGCUUAGUAUGAAGAAGUUGGAGGAUGAAUUGAAAUCUUGGAAGUUGAUCAUUAAAGACAUUCCAGGCGUGUCAUGUUCUGAGGAUUUACCAGUUAAAUUCGCAUCAUUACAAAAAGAGGUAAUUGAUAGCAUGAUGAAAGUGAGUGAGGCAAAUGCCCACUUGAAACAAUUGGAGGUAGCUCUAGAUGCAGCAAAAAUUGAUAAACAAAAUGCUGAAAUAGAGGCUACACUGGCCAAGGAGAAAGGGGAUGUAUCAAAAUCAGAGGUUAAGCGGAUUGAAUUGAUGCUCUCUAUGGUUACUGAGGAAAGAGAUAAGUUGAGAAAUGUCCUGAAUGGACUGAAGUCGGCAAAGAAUGAUGAAGCAGCCAGUCAUACUUUUCUUCAGGAGGUUGAAUCAUCACUUGCAAAGAAAGAGGGCUAUAUUAAAGAAUUGGAAUGCGGUGUAUGUGAACAAAAAGAAGUUAAUAGUCGUCAACGUGAAGAAAUAAAGUUGCUUAAUGAGAGGUUGAACAAUGAAGCUAGAAGAAUAAAGUCAUUGGAGAGGGAGAGCGAUCGACUUCAUUCAGAGAUCGCUUUACUGGAGUCCAAGAUUGGUCAUGGCAAUUUCUCUGCUGCUAAUACUAAAGUUUUAAGAAUGGUGAAUACUCUUACGGUUGAUAAUGAAGCCAAACAAACUAUUGAAGCAUUACAAACUGAGUUACAGAAGACAAAGGAGAAGUUACAAGCUGUUGAAGAAUUGAAAAGUCAAUCAGGUGAUGCUGGAAAAUUGGUGGAUUCGUACAUAUCUGGGAAGAUAGUGCAGUUGAAAGAACAAAUUGCAACUCUUGAAAAACGUGAAGAAAGGUACAAGACUGUUUUUGCUGACAGAAUUUCAGUGUUCAGGAGGGAGUGUUGUGAGCUAUUUGGUUACAAGAUUGUAAUGGAUGAACACCAGCGUCCCAAUGGAAUCCCUGUUACACAUUUUACCCUUCAAUCUAUAUAUGCGCAAAGUGAUGAUGAGAAGCUUGAAUUUGAAUAUGAAUCAGGGAGCACAAACAUUUUGGCAAAUGAUUACACCUCACAGUCUGAGAUAUCUCAUCAGGUUGAGAUAUUUAUUCGGAAGUUGAAUUCAAUCCCAGCUUUCACUGCCAACUUAACAGUGGAGUCUUUCAACCGGCGAACCCUGACUUAAAAACGAGUCAAAUUUGAUUUCUACUACAGAUGAAUCACCAAGAUUGUAUAUUUCACUUAUCAAGUUUGUGUAGCAGAGAGAAUGAUGUAGAAUCCGAGGUGCAUUUUGUUUUCGAGUGAUGCAUCCAAAUUCUUGUGAUCCAUAGGAAGUGGGCACUCAUUCAAGAUGGCUGUCAAACAAAAUGGCGCAAAAUCGGGUGUCAAAGCUCUUUGUUUCACUACUACAAGUCCUUUUGGUGGAUGCAUCAUUUUAUUCAUGAAAACUCGUGGACUGCGGGAUUGAUGGUGACAGUGGUGGUAAUGGUGGUGGGCGUGGGUUCAUGGCUUUUCCUUAAAAUCCGUUUCGGUACUUACUGAGAUUUUUGACGUCAAGGGUUGACAGACGCCAAACUAAAAUCCCAUUAUCAGGAUUUCUCCAGCCUUGAAUGUUCGGGUGGUUUCGGUACGGUUUUCGUACCAAAACCUCUGUACUAAUUACCAUACCAAACUUUUGGUCUGAUAAAAUCUAUUACCAAUACCAUACCAAAUUUUUGGUAUACUGAAUUUUGAUAUGUAUUAUUCAGUUGGCAUGAUAUGGUAAUAAUAAUUGCCACUUUAUUUUGGGCCACUUUU